GGAGAAAGCACAUUUUGUCACAACUAUAUAAACUCCAAACACACGUGUGAACCAUCAUACAUUCAUACAUCCAAAACUUGUACUAUAAAAAAGAAGUAAACAAUAAAAAAAUAGUUAGGCUCUAAGUAGUGGGCUAACGCACCCUUUCAAAUGGAGGGUUUUCAUUGGCGUCCUUUUAAACCCGUUACGAUUGGCGUUACACGACUACACUCAGCCUAACUAUAACAAAAAUAAAUUACAUAACCGGCCCGCCAUCAGGAACAACACUAUUCGAAUUCGCCGCCCUAAUCAUCCCCACCGCCGAACCACCACCAACACCACCGCCACGUGUACGUCCCUUAAUCCUCCUCAACUCCGCCACCACUUCUUUCGCAUCGGGCCGAUCAUCUCUAUCGGCCGCCACACACCGAAACGAAAGCUCCGCCACCGCCGCCACAGCACCACCAUCCACCGUAGCUAACCUCGGAUCAAUCACCUCCGCCAACAACCCCAUCUGAAUCUUCCCCACCGCCAUAUCCGCCAACGUCAUCUCCCUCUUAUCUCUAUUCACAUCAACCGCUUUCAUCCCGGUAACCAAUUCCAAUAAUACUACUCCAAAACUAUAGAUAUCACUCUUUUCAGUCAACCGGAACGACCGGUAAUAAUCCGGAUCCAAGUACCCAGGAGUCCCUUGUGGACCCGUCCACACACAACCCGGAUCCAACAACCUUGAUAACCCGAAAUCCCCAACUUUAACACGCAUAUCCUUGUCCGCAAAUAUGUUGUUCGACGUAAUGUCUCUAUGAACAAUCGGCGGAACUACCGAAAAAUGAAGGUACUCGAUCGCAACAGCGAUCUGCAACGCGAUAUCCAGCCGCACGUGCCAUGGUAAACACGUUUUCCUGUGCACGUGCAGAUGAUCCGAAAGUGUUCCAUUAGGCACAUACUCGUACACAAGUAACAACCCUCUCGGGUCACUACAAUACCCAUGAAGUUUAACCAAAUUCGGGUGGUUUAACGACGAUAAUAUCAAGAUCUCAUUACAAAAAGACUUGGUUGAGACCGAAUUCGAAGUGGGAUUUUGUUUGUGUAAGAAUUUAAUAGCCAAAACUCGGUUUUGUUGUUCAAAACGACCCACGAAAACCGACCCGAACCCGCCGUCACCGAUUUUGUGAACCGGGUCGAAGUUGUUGGUUGCUUGUUGAAGCUCUUCAAAAGUGUAAACCGGUGGUAACAAGCUGGCAGACCGGUGCCUGUGGAGGUAGACAACAGCUGGAUCUUGAACCGGUGAUAGCUUUUUUGUUCUUGAAAUGUAUGUAAAUAAAAUAAUUAGUAACAUACAUAAGACCAAUGUAGCUAAAGACAUCAUAGCUAUACGUAUGUUACGUUUUGUGUGAACCGGUUUUUGGGUUUUGAAGUUCGUUGUUUGAAGGCAUAAAAACGGUUUGUUGGGGUGGGUAGAGUUGUAUCCACAGGUUCCGUUUAAGGAUUUGCAAGAUUUGCAGGUGGUGAAGUAAGAAUCUUGUUGUUGGUAUUCGACUUGGAUUCCGAAUCUUAGGAAGCUGUCGAGGAAACCUAGGAUGUCUGGUUGACAGCCUUCAUGGGUGAGCUGAGGUGGAGGAUGAGAUCCACAAGAGUUGAUGAGGUGAAGGGGUGUUUUGGUAAUUUUACAAAGGUAUGGGCAGUGGGUGCAGUUAGGUAAGGUGGUGGUGGUGGGUGGGUUGCAAGGGGUGAUGUAAGAGAGGCGAGAGCAGAAUGAGUCGGUGGGUUUGAAUGGUGAGUGUGAGAGGUUUAUGGGUUGGGUUGGGAUGGUGGUGGUGGUGGUGGUGCAUUUAGUGGUGGUGGGGGUGGGGGUGGGGUGGGGGAAGAGGGAGAGGGUGGGGGUGGUGGGGUCGUAGGUGAGGAGAGAGAAGUGGUGGUUGUUGAUGGUGAUGGUGGCGGAGAGUGGUGGUGGGUGGCAUGUGAUUUGGAAGGAUGGGUGGCCGGAGCCAGGGGUGGUGAGAUGUUACGGUGGUUAGAAGGAAGAUGAGUGGUGGAAUAAGGCGGAAUAGUGGUGGCAUUAUUUGUGGUCAGAGUGUGGAGAUCUGAAGAAUCUUUUGG
rnacentral:lncRNA from 1 species